UACGAAGGGGGCUAGCGUUGUUCGGAAUUACUGGGCGUAAAGCGUGCGCAGGCGGCUUCUCAAGUCAGGGGUGAAAGCCCAGAGCUCAACUCUGGAAUUGCCUUUGAGACUGAGUGGCUUGAGUACGAGAGAGGUGAGUGGAAUUCCCAGUGUAGAGGUGAAAUUCGUAGAUAUUGGGAAGAACACCGGUGGCGAAGGCGGCUAUCUGGACCGUAACUGACGCUGAGGCGCGAAAGCGUGGGGAGCAAACAGG
rnacentral:rRNA from 1 species